AAGCAAGCAGACCACUGUGAGUUCAAGGCCUGCCUGGUCUGCUAAGUGAGUUCCAGGACAGCCAGGGUUACACCUAGAAAGUCACUUGAUCAAAAGAAUUAAACACACUGAUAUCAUUUAAUCUCAGCUAUGGCCUUUGAACCAAAAUUUGAAAUUUUUGAAGACCGUGUAUAAAAUGGGAGCAAACCCACCCACAUCUGAGGCCCACUUUGAGAAAUGUCACACACAAGAGAUAUGAAAAGUGUAAGAUAGUUCAUGUAAAAUCCAUAUGAUAUAUACAGCAUAUCACCAUAUCAUAAACGAUAGGCACUAAUUCAAUAUAAAAUAUGUGUAAUGAAACCGGUGUGCUGAGAAUGGAACAUUCUGGAAUUCUGUCCUCUUCCCAUUUUUAGGAAAUAGAGAAGAAUUAAGAGGGCCUCUGGCAGAGACCUCUGUGUGGUGAAGACCGAGGGAGGCUUAAGGCCCUUGGCUCACAGGUCACAAAUGGUCUCCCUAGUUCUGAAUUGCCAACUGUAAACUAGACAUGCCUUUGUGAGUCUAAUUAAUAUCCUUGGUUAAACAAGGCUGAGUGGUUUCUUUUACUGUGGAGCCAUUUGGAGUCUUCAGCAUACAGACUGUGAGCUACAUUUUCAGAACUUAAAAACUUUCAAAGCAAGACAUUGUUUCCAGCAUUUCCCAAACGAGUUCUUUUCUGUUUUUCUCUUCAAACAUCUUGUGGCAAUGAAACUAUUAAGGCAAUGGUGUGGCAUUCAUAUUUUCUCUGUGCUUAGCUCUCCCCAAAGGCCUGAUGUCCCAACAGACUUCCUGUCAGUAGGAUUCAGUCCUGACUCCUUUGGAGUGCUGGGGUGACCUGCCUACACCUACCUGAACUGUGCUAUGCUGAACUGUAGAAAAAUGCUGGUAUUUGAUCUUGUUGACCCACUAACUAACAUGACAACUGCACGUGGCUUAACUAAAUCCUUAGGACAGUCACUGUUGGUUGAACCUGCCUGGUCAAACAAGAAUUCCUUUCUGAUCUCUGAUGAAUUCUACUUAGCAUUUCAGGACUGGAGUCUCCCUGUUUGUAUCUUAGCUGAUGAAAUUCAUGCAGACAAGGUUGUCUACUUUGGAUAUCACCAGAUUUGUUGAUUCUAGAACUUUCCAAAUGCUGAGCCAGCCAUUUCUACUUGCAAAUGAAGAUGUAGAACGCUUAUCUCCUCCUGCACCACGUCUGCCUGCAUGCUGCCCUGUCUCACCAUGAUAAUGGACCAAAUCUCUGAAACUACCAGGAAACUUCCACCCUGAAGACUUGCUUUCAUAGUGCCAGAAAGUGCCGUGCAGGCUGUUGGAGGAGAAAGUAUGUUUGCGCAGUGCUGGACUCUGCAUCCUUCAGUAGCUCCUGUAAGGCUAGGGGCAUGAUUGUUAUGGGGAAAGUCACCACCUUCUUACUGAAUUUGAGACCUGCUCUACAGGAGGGCAUGCCACACCGGCACCAAAAUACUGAUUAAAAAGCCUAUGUCUGGCAAGGGUGUAGGCUGUAACACUUAGCCUGCUCUUGUUAUUUUGCUCCGUGUUCAUGCCGUUAAACGUCCCUACCUAUACAUCUGUGCUGCUCUCAACCUUGUCCAGAAAAAGACUUUCUUUUCUUUUGCAACGGGCAGCAUUGGUGCAGGGAUGCUUAACUGGUCAAAGUGCUGAGACCAAGAGAUGAGUGCUCAGUCUUAAGUGGGGCAUCCUUACCAACUGACCCCAGCCCUUCACCCAGCCUGGCAAGACUCAGGGAGCACCUUGGAAGAAAGUGAACCCUUGGAAGAUGCGGAGGAGUGCUGUGAAAUGCUGUCUUCUAGCAUGAUAUGGCUCUCACACUCAUGAACUCACAGCCGCCAUGAUUAUCUGCACAAGAUGAAGCCAACUAAGAUGCCAGCGCAGAUGUGGGGUGCCUUUCAGGCCCCACUUUUUACUAACAGCUAGCAGCAGUUGAUAGAUGUUUGGGGAGAAGGAAUCCUUACCAUUUGAGAGUGGGCCUACUGGUAGAGUUCCCAUACUCCAGCACACACAUCAUACCUAUACACAUGACUAGCACCGACUGGAUUUAAUGAGCUAUCGGAGAAGGAGGAGGAGGACGAAGAGGAAGAAGGGGGAGGGGAGGAGGAAAAGGGGAGGAGGAAAUAAUUAAGUUGGAGGAGUACAUGUUGGGAGAGAUGGGGAGGGAGUUGGAGGAGGGAAAUGGGAACAGGCAGAUAUGGUUAUUUUUCAUUGUACACAUGUGUUACAUGUAUGAAAUUAUUAAGAAUAAAGAAAAGUUAUAAUAAAAAUAAUAUCUUUCCCUCUC